rnacentral:rRNA from 1 species
CCUACGGGGGGCAGCAGUGAGGAAUAUUGGUCAAUGGGCGCAAGCCUGAACCAGCCAAGUCGCGUGAGGGAAGACGGCCCUACGGGUUGUAAACCUCUUUUGCCGGGGAGCAAGCCUGAGCACGUGUGCCCAGGCGGAGAGUACCCGGAGAAAAAGCAUCGGCUAACUCCGUGCCAGCAGCCGCGGUAAUACGGAGGAUGCGAGCUUUAUCCGGAUUUAUUGGGUUAAAGGGGUGCGCAGGCGGGCUGUUAAGCCGGCGGUAAUAAUUCAGGGCUCAACCCUGUCGUGCCGUCGGAACUGGCAGUCUUGAGUGGGCGAGAAGUAUGCGGAAUGCGUGGUGUAGCGGUGAAAUGCAUAGAUAUCACGAAGAACUCCGAUUGCGAAGGCAGCUUACUAAACUGCCACUGACAUUGAUGCUCGAAAGUGUGGGUAUCAAACAGGAUUAGAUACCCCUGUAGUC